UCCCUAGUGGUCUGGUGGUUAAGACUUGGCACUUUCACUGCCGUGGCCUGGGUUCAAUCCCUGGUCUGGGAA
rnacentral:tRNA from 1 species